rnacentral:tRNA from 1 species
AAAUCCGUCGACUUUAUAAAUCGUGAGGGUUCAAGCUUCUCUAUCCCCA